rnacentral:rRNA from 1 species
GCCGGUUUAAUAAGUCUCUGGUGAAAUCCUGUAGCUUAACGUGUGGGAAUUGCUGGAGAUACAUUAGACUUGAGACCGGGAGAGGUUAGAGGUACUCCCAGGGUAGAGGUGAAAUUCUGUAAUCCUGGGAGGACCGCCUGUUGCGAAGGCGUCGUAACUGGAACGGUUCUGACGGUGAGGGACGAAAGUUAGGGGCGCGAACCGGAUUAGGAUACCCGGGUAGUCCUAACUGUAAACGAUGCGGACUUGGUGUUGGGUGGCUUUGAGCUGCUUCAGUGCCGAAGGGAAGCUGUUAAGUCCGCCGCCUGGGAAGUACGGUCGCAAGACUGAAACUUAAGGAAUUGGCGGGGGAGCACCACAACGCGUGGAGCCUGCCGGUUUAAUUGGAUUCAACGCCGGACAUCUCACCAGAGGCGACAGCUGUAUGAUAGCCAGGUUGAUGACUUUGCUUGACUAGCUGAGUAGUGGUGCAUGG